rnacentral:rRNA from 1 species
AACCGAGAUUCCCCCAGUAGCGGCGAGCGAACGGGGAGCAGCCCAGAGCCUGAAUCAGUAUGUGUGUUAGUGGAAGCGUCUGGAAAGGCGCGCGAUACAGGGUGACAGCCCCGUACACAAAAAUGCACAUGCUGUGAGCUCGAUGAGUAGGGCGGGACACGUGGUAUCCUGUCUGAAUAUGGGGGGACCAUCCUCCAAGGCUAAAUACUCCUGACUGACCGAUAGUGAACCAGUACCGUGAGGGAAAGGCGAAAAGAACCCCGGCGAGGGGAGUGAAAAAGAACCUGAAACCGUGUACGUACAAGCAGUGGGAGCACGCUUAGGCGUGUGACUGCGUACCUUUUGUAUAAUGGGUCAGCGACUUAUAUUCUGUAGCAAGGUUAACCGAAUAGGGGAGCCGAAGGGAAACCGAGUCUUAACUGGGCGUUAAGUUGCAGGGUAUAGACCCGAAACCCGGUGAUCUAGCCAUGGGCAGGUUGAAGGUUGGGUAACACUAACUGGAGGACCGAACCGACUAAUGUUGAAAAAUUAGCGGAUGACUUGUGGCUGGGGGUGAAAGGCCAAUCAAACCGGGAGAUAGCUGGUUCUCCCCGAAAGCUAUUUAGGUAGCGCCUCGUGAAUUCAUCUCCGGGGGUAGAGCACUGUUUCGGCAAGGGGGUCAUCCCGACUUACCAACCCGAUGCAAACUGCGAAUACCGGAGAAUGUUAUCACGGGAGACACACGGCGGGUGCUAACGUCCGUCGUGAAGAGGGAAACAACCCAGACCGCCAGCUAAGGUCCCAAAGUCAUGGUUAAGUGGGAAACGAUGUGGGAAGGCCCAGACAGCCAGGAUGUUGGCUUAGAAGCAGCCAUCAUUUAAAGAAAGCGUAAUAGCUCACUGGUCGAGUCGGCCUGCGCGGAAGAUGUAACGGGGCUAAACCAUGCACCGAAGCUGCGGCAGCGACGCUGAUGCGUUGUUGGGUAGGGGAGCGUUCUGUAAGCCUGCGAAGGUGUGCUGUGAGGCAUGCUGGAGGUAUCAGAAGUGCGAAUGCUGACAUAAGUAACGAUAAAGCGGGUGAAAAGCCCGCUCGCCGGAAGACCAAGGGUUCCUGUCCAACGUUAAUCGGGGCAGGGUGAGUCGACCCCUAAGGCGAGGCCGAAAGGCGUAGUCGAUGGGAAACAGGUUAAUAUUCCUGUACUUGGUGUUACUGCGAAGGGGGGACGGAGAAGGCUAUGUUGGCCGGGCGACGGUUGUCCCGGUUUAAGCGUGUAGGCUGGUUUUCCAGGCAAAUCCGGAAAAUCAAGGCUGAGGCGUGAUGACGAGGCACUGCGGUGCUGAAGCAACAAAUGCCCUGCUUCCAGGAAAAGCCUCUAAGCAUCAGGUAACAUCAAAUCGUACCCCAAACCGACACAGGUGGUCAGGUAGAGAAUACCAAGGCGCUUGAGAGAACUCGGGUGAAGGAACUAGGCAAAAUGGUGCCGUAACUUCGGGAGAAGGCACGCUGAUAUGUAGGUGAAGUCCCUCGCGGAUGGAGCUGAAAUCAGUCGAAGAUACCAGCUGGCUGCAACUGUUUAUUAAAAACACAGCACUGUGCAAACACGAAAGUGGACGUAUACGGUGUGACGCCUGCCCGGUGCCGGAAGGUUAAUUGAUGGGGUUAGCGCAAGCGAAGCUCUUGAUCGAAGCCCCGGUAAACGGCGGCCGUAACUAUAACGGUCCUAAGGUAGCGAAAUUCCUUGUCGGGUAAGUUCCGACCUGCACGAAUGGCGUAAUGAUGGCUAGGCUGUCUCCACCCGAGACUCAGUGAAAUUGAACUCGCUGUGAAGAUGCAGUGUACCCGCGGCAAGACGGAAAGACCCCGUGAACCUUUACUAUAGCUUGACACUGAACAUUGAGCCUUGAUGUGUAGGAUAGGUGGGAGGCUU